CAGCAGCCGCGGUAAUACCAGCCCCUCGAGUGGUGGGGAUGAUUAUUGGGCCUAAAGCGUCCGUAGCCUGCCGUGUAAGUUUCCCGUUAAAUCCAACGUCUCAAGCGUUGGACCGCGGGAAAUACUGUACGGCUAGAGAGUGGGAGAGGUCAGCGGUAUUCUGGGGGUAGGGGCGAAAUCCUUUGAUCCCCGGAGGACCACCAGUGGCGAAGGCUGCUGUCUAGAACACGUCUGACGGUCAGGGACGAAAGCUGGGGUAGCGAACCGGAUUAGAUACCCGGGUAGUCCCAGCCGUAAACGAUGCAUGCUAGUGUUGGGGGUUGGCCACGAGCCACCCCAGUGCCGCAGGGAAACCGUUAAGCAUGCCGCCUGGGAAGUACCAUCGCAAGGUUGAAACUUAAAGGAAUUGGCGGGGGAGCACCACCAGGCGUGAAGCCUGCGGUUUAAUUGGAGUCAACGCCGGGAACCUUACCGGGAGCGACAGCAGAGUGAAGGUCAGAUUGAAGAUCUUACCAGACGAGCUGAGAGGAGGUGCAUGGCCGUCGCCAGUUCGUGCCGUGAGGUGUUAUGUUAAGUCAUAUAACGAACGAGACCCGUGCCGCAUGUUGCCACCAGAAUCUAAAGGAUUGCUGAGCACUCUUGCGGGACCGCAGCCGAUAAGGCUGAGGAAGGUACGGGCAACGGCAGGUCAGUAUGCCCCGAAUCUCCCGGGCCACACGCGGGCUGCAAUGGUAUAGACAGAGGGCUGCCACCCCGAGAGGGGGAGCCAAUCCCUAAACUGUACCUCAGUUGGGAUCGAGGGCUGCAACCCGCCCUCGUGAACAUGGAAUGCCUAGUAACCGCCAGUCAUCAUCUGGCGGUGAAUACGUCCCUGCUCCUUGCACACACUGCCCGUCGAACCACCCGAAUGAGGUUUGGGUGAGGAAUGGUCGAAUGUUGGCGGUUUCAAACCUGGGCCUCGUAAGCCCGGUUAAGUCGUAACAAGGUAACCGUA
rnacentral:rRNA from 1 species